UGAGUAACCUGCCCUUAACUCUGGGAUAAGCCUGGGAAACUGGGUCUAAUACCGGAUAUGACUCCUCAUCGCAUGGUGGGGGGUUGGAAAGCUUUUUGUGGUUUUGGAUGGACUCGCGGCCUAUCAGCUUGUUGGUGAGGUAAUGGCUCACCAAGGCGACGACGGGUAGCCGGCCUGAGAGGGUGACCGGCCACACUGGGACUGAGACACGGCCCAGACUCCUACGGGAGGCAG
rnacentral:rRNA from 1 species